GAAGGUAUAGCUCAAGUGGCAGAGUGCAUGCUUAGCAUCCACAAGGUCCUGGGUUCAAUCCCCAGUACCUCCU
rfam:Camelus ferus unplaced genomic scaffold scaffold42601, whole genome shotgun sequence.